rnacentral:sRNA from 1 species
AUACUUGCAUAUAAAAAUAAGGGUAAUAUUAGUAGAUAACCAAAUAAAACAUACAAAUUAAGAAACUAGUAGAGAGAAAGUUUUUUGUUACAAAAUAACCAUGGACCCACGUUGUCGGAAGAAAGGAAAUAACAAAGCUACCCUUCAUUUGUUGUAAGAUGAACAGUAAACGAAACACAUCCGUGUAAUUUUUCAAAAUAGCAUGUAACAUUAAAAUUUCACAUGUAAUAUUUAGUUUAAAAAUAUGCUAUUUCAAAAAACGUUAUGAAUUUUUAAGAAAAAACAUUAUUAUGAAAUUCUUUUACAUGAACAGAAUCUUAAAAAACAAAAAUUAUAUGUGAUUUUAAUAAAAACCAUGUAUUACUAAAAAAUAAGAAUAUAUUUUUAAAGAAAUCACGUGUGAUCUUAAUAAAAAACUUGUAUUACUACAAAAUAUCAUGAUAAAAUGAGAUAUUAAACUGAAUAGAAUGUUUUUUACAAAAAAUACUAUGUGGUUUUUACAAAUACUAUGUAAUAAGAGAAAAUAACAAGAUAAAAAGAGGAUAUUAUGUUAUCGCAUGUAUUUCGGAAAAAUAACAUGUUACAAAGGACAUUUACGUAAUUACACGUGUUCUCCAACAUGUUUCCGACAAGAUACUGUGACUCAAGGUUAGUUUGUACAUUCUUUUCAAAUCUAUAAUCAUUUAUUAU